GAUGAACGCUGGCGGCGUGCCUAAUACAUGCAAGUCGAGCGAACAGACGAGGAGCUUGCUCCUCUGACGUUAGCGGCGGACGGGUGAGUAACACGUGGAUAACCUACCUAUAAGACUUGGAUAACUUCGGGAAACCGGAGCUAAUACCGGAUAAUAUAUUGAACCGCAUGGUUCAAUAGUUAAAGACGGUUUUGCUGUCACUUAUAGAUGGAUCCGCGCCGCAUUAGCUAGUUGGUAAGGUAACGGCUUACCAAGGCGACGAUGCGUAGCCGACCUGAGAGGGUGAUCGGCCACACUGGAACUGAGACACGGUCCAGACUCCUACGGGAGGCAGCAGUAGGGAAUAUUCCGCAAUGGGCGAAGGCCUGACGGAGCAACGCCGCGUGAGUGAUGAAGGUCUUCGGAUCGUAAAACUCUGUUAUUAGGGAAGAAAAAAUGUGUAAGUAACUAUGCACGUCUUGACGGUACCUAAUCAGAAAGCAACGGCUAACUACGUG
rnacentral:rRNA from 1 species